rnacentral:rRNA from 1 species
UACGUAGGGUGCAAGCGUUAAUCGGAAUUACUGGGCGUAAAGCGUGCGUAGGCGGCUUUGCAAGACAGAUGUGAAAUCCCCGGGCUUAACCUGGGAACUGCAUUUGUGACUGCAUGGCUGGAGUGCGGCAGAGGAGACUGGAAUUCCCGGUGUAGCAGUGAAAUGCGUAGAUAUCGGGAGGAAUACCGAUGGCGAAGGCAGGUCUCUGGGCCUGCACUGACGCUCAUGCACGAAAGCGUGGGGAGCAAACAGG